UGGGGAAUAUUGCACAAUGGGGGAAACCCUGAUGCAGCGACGCCGCGUGAGCGAAGAAGGCUUUCGAGUCGUAAAGCUCUGUCCUAUGAGAAGAUAAUGACGGUAUCAUAGGAGGAAGCCCUGGCUAAAUACGUGCCAGCAGCCGCGGUAAUACGUAUGGGGCGAGCGUUGUCCGGAAUUAUUGGGCGUAAAGGGUACGUAGGCGGUUUUUUAAGUCAGGUGUCAAAGCGUGGAGCUUAACUCCAUUAAGCACUUGAAACUGAAAGACUUGAGUGAAGGAGAGGAAAGUGGAAUUCCUAGUGUAGCGGUGAAAUGCGUAGAUAUUAGGAGGAAUACCGGUGGCGAAGGCGACUUUCUGGACGAACACUGACGCUGAGGCGCGAAAGCCAGGGGAGCGAACGGG
rnacentral:rRNA from 1 species